AAAUAAUUUGGCACUCUCCCACACCUAUUUGUUGAGUAUUUAAAGACUUAAGCUAUUGGUUCAACUUCAGGACUUAAGUUAUUGGUUCAAAAGUACACAAGUCAGGAGGAGACUGAUACCCCACUGAUACAAAGCUACUUCCCAUGUCUUAUGUAUGUAUCUAAUUUGUCCCCUAUGCUCUUAGGUUUCUCCUAACCAGAGUUGGCUUGUACGAGGACAUGGAUCAUAAGGAAUUUUCACUGCUAGUACAAGGUGCAUCUAUUCAUUUAAGAAUAGAGAUGACAUUGAAACAAACACAAUCCUGUACUUUGGGCCCAUCU
rnacentral:lncRNA from 12 species